UUAACACAUGCAAGUCGAGGGGCAGCAUGGUCUUAGCUUGCUAAGGCCGAUGGCGACCGGCGCACGGGUGAGUAACACGUAUCCAACCUGCCGUCUACUCUUGGACAGCCUUCUGAAAGGAAGAUUAAUACAAGAUGGCAUCACGAGUCCGCAUGUUCACAUGAUUAAAGGUAUUCCGGUAGACGAUGGGGAUGCGUUCCAUUAGAUAGUAGGCGGGGUAACGGCCCACCUAGUCUUCGAUGGAUAGGGGUUCUGAGAGGAAGGUCCCCCACAUUGGAACUGAGACACGGUCCAAACUCCUACGGGAGGCAGCAGUGAGGAAUAUUGGUCAAUGGGCGAGAGCCUGAACCAGCCAAGUAGCGUGAAGGAUGACUGCCCUAUGGGUUGUAAACUUCUUUUAUAAAGGAAUAAAGUCGGGUAUGGAUACCCGUUUGCAUGUACUUUAUGAAUAAGGAUCGGCUAACUCCGUGCCAGCAGCCGCGGUAAUACGGAGGAUCCGAGCGUUAUCCGGAUUUAUUGGGUUUAAAGGGAGCGUAGAUGGAUGUUUAAGUCAGUUGUGAAAGUUUGCGGCUCAACCGUAAAAUUGCAGUUGAUACUGGAUAUCUUGAGUGCAGUUGAGGCAGGCGGAAUUCCGUGGUGUAGCGGUGAAAUGCUUAGAUAUCACGAAGAACUCCGAUUGCGAAGGCAGCCUGCUAAGCUGCAACUGACAUUGAGGCUCGAAAGUGUGGGUAUCAAACAGGAUUAGAUACCCUGGUAGUCCACACGGUAAACGAUGAAUACUCGCUGUUUGCGAUAUACUGCAAGCGGCCAAGCGAAAGCGUUAAGUAUUCCACCUGGGGAGUACGCCGGCAACGGUGAAACUCAAAGGAAUUGACGGGGGCCCGCACAAGCGGAGGAACAUGUGGUUUAAUUCGAUGAUACGCGAGGAACCUUACCCGGGCUUAAAUUGCAGAUGAAUUACGGUGAAAGCCGUAAGCCGCAAGGCAUCUGUGAAGGUGCUGCAUGGUUGUCGUCAGCUCGUGCCGUGAGGUGUCGGCUUAAGUGCCAUAACGAGCGCAACCCUUGUUGUCAGUUACUAACAGGUUCCGCUGAGGACUCUGACAAGACUGCCAUCGUAAGAUGUGAGGAAGGUGGGGAUGACGUCAAAUCAGCACGGCCCUUACGUCCGGGGCUACACACGUGUUACAAUGGGGGGUACAGAGGGCCGCUACCACGCGAGUGGAUGCCAAUCCCCAAAACCUCUCUCAGUUCGGACUGGAGUCUGCAACCCGACUCCACGAAGCUGGAUUCGCUAGUAAUCGCGCAUCAGCCACGGCGCGGUGAAUACGUUCCCGGGCCUUGUACACACCGCCCGUCAAGCCAUGGGAGCCGGGGGUACCUGAAGUGCGUAACCGCGAGGAGCGCCCUAGGGUAAAACUGGUGACUGGGGCUAAAU
rnacentral:rRNA from 1 species